rnacentral:rRNA from 1 species
GAUGAACGCUGGCGGCGUGCUUAACACAUGCAAGUCGAACGGUGAAGGCGGAGCUUGCUCUGCUGGAUCAGUGGCGAACGGGUGAGUAACACGUGAGCAAUCUGCCCCUGACUCUGGGAUAAGCGCUGGAAACGGCGUCUAAUACUGGAUACGAGCUUCCACCGCAUGGUGAGUUGUUGGAAAGAUUUUUCGGUCAGGGAUGAGCUCGCGGCCUAUCAGCUUGUUGGUGAGGUAAUGGCUCACCAAGGCGUCGACGGGUAGCCGGCCUGAGAGGGUGACCGGCCACACUGGGACUGAGACACGGCCCAGACUCCUACGGGAGGCAGCAGUGGGGAAUAUUGCACAAUGGGCGCAAGCCUGAUGCAGCAACGCCGCGUGAGGGACGACGGCCUUCGGGUUGUAAACCUCUUUUAGCAGGGAAGAAGCGAAAGUGACGGUACCUGCAGAAAAAGCGCCGGCUAACUACGUGCCAGCAGCCGCGGUAAUACGUAGGGCGCAAGCGUUAUCCGGAAUUAUUGGGCGUAAAGAGCUCGUAGGCGGUUUGUCGCGUCUGCUGUGAAAUCCCGAGGCUCAACCUCGGGUCUGCAGUGGGUACGGGCAGACUAGAGUGCGGUAGGGGAGAUUGGAAUUCCUGGUGUAGCGGUGGAAUGCGCAGAUAUCAGGAGGAACACCGAUGGCGAAGGCAGAUCUCUGGGCCGUAACUGACGCUGAGGAGCGAAAGGGUGGGGAGCAAACAGGCUUAGAUACCCUGGUAGUCCACCCCGUAAACGUUGGGAACUAGUUGUGGGGUCCAUUCCACGGAUUCCGUGACGCAGCUAACGCAUUAAGUUCCCCGCCUGGGGAGUACGGCCGCAAGGCUAAAACUCAAAGGAAUUGACGGGGACCCGCACAAGCGGCGGAGCAUGCGGAUUAAUUCGAUGCAACGCGAAGAACCUUACCAAGGCUUGACAUAUACGAGAACGGGCCAGAAAUGGUCAACUCUUUGGACACUCGUAAACAGGUGGUGCAUGGUUGUCGUCAGCUCGUGUCGUGAGAUGUUGGGUUAAGUCCCGCAACGAGCGCAACCCUCGUUCUAUGUUGCCAGCACGUAAUGGUGGGAACUCAUGGGAUACUGCCGGGGUCAACUCGGAGGAAGGUGGGGAUGACGUCAAAUCAUCAUGCCCCUUAUGUCUUGGGCUUCACGCAUGCUACAAUGGCCGGUACAAAGGGCUGCAAUACCGUAAGGUGGAGCGAAUCCCAAAAAGCCGGUCCCAGUUCGGAUUGAGGUCUGCAACUCGACCUCAUGAAGUCGGAGUCGCUAGUAAUCGCAGAUCAGCAACGCUGCGGUGAAUACGUUCCCGGGUCUUGUACACACCGCCCGUCAAGUCAUGAAAGUCGGUAACACCUGAAGCCGGUGGCCCAACCCUUGUGGAGGGAGCCGUCGAAGGUGGGAUCGGUAAUUAGGACU